rnacentral:lncRNA from 1 species
AUCAGUUAUCAACUAGAGAUGCUUAAGCUAUUUAUCAUGGUUCCUUACUGGUGUUCUGUAGAUUUUUGGGGGGAGAUCAUAUUCACAGUUCUUUUGUCAGUGCUAUUAAACUGUUUGGAUAUAUGAACUAAUCAAGAUUGAUGUCAGCGCGUUUCUCUAUUGAACUUAAAGUUCACCUGAUACGUCCCAGGUAGAUGGCACAUGUGAUUAUCCAGUUUUGGGCAUGUUUCUGGAUUUAGUAUCUUGAAGUGUCUGGUUAUAUAGGUAUAGAUAAAUAUUAGUUAUACCCUAGUUUCG